GCCCCCGCAGGCCUGCGCCUGCGCGCGAGGCAGGGCGGCGGGUCGAGCUGAUGGUGUACCUGGGGACCUCCCAUUCCUGCUCCUGGCGGGAGAGUUAGAUAGCCACUCAAGAAAACAUCAUGAAAGAUACUGAUAUCAAGAGACUACUGUAUACUCAUCUUUUAUGCAUAUUUUCAAUUAUCCUAAGCAUCUUCAUUCCAUCAUUCUUCUUGGAGAACUUCUCGAUAUUGGAAACACACUUGACUUGGUUGGGCUUCUGUUCUGUUUUUGUAACUGCCGUGAAUCUAGUUUUAUACUUAGUUGUGAAACCAAAUGUGUCCUCUAAAAGAAGUUCAUUGUCAUACAAGAUAACCAGGCUCUUGAAGUGCUGUGUCUACUUUCUUAUAUCUUGUUGCUUCUUUCAUAUUAUUUUUGUUCUAUAUGGAGCACCACUAAUAGAGUUGGUGUUGGAAACAUUUUUAUUUGCGGUUACUUUGUCUACAUUUACCACUAUUCCUUGUCUGUGUUUGUUAGGCCCAAACAUCAAAGCAUGGCUAAGAGUUUUCAGUAGAAAUGGAGUGACAUCCAUUUGGGAGAAUAGUCUCCAGAUCACUACAGUUUCUAGUCUCCUGGGCAGCUGGCUGGGCGCGUUUCCUAUUCCACUCGACUGGGAGAAGCCAUGGCAGCCUCCCCGCCCUUCCCCUUCUCACCCAUUCCCCUUCCCCCCCUCAGUCACCUUGCACCUGCAGAUUUUGGCUUCCACCCACACCCACACCCUGCCAGUGACCAAAGACUUGACCACUCAGAGUCCAGCUCCCCAGAAUACUGCUCAACAUGGACACCGGUGUGAUUGAAGGUGGAUUAAAUGUCACACUCAUCAUCCGACUACUUAUGUAUGGAAGUUGGCAGUAUCAUCGGAAAGAAAGGAGAAUCUGUGAAGAGAGCGUGGCCCAUUUCCUGUACACUGGGAGCGACCUUUGGCUACGUGGCUGGCCUUGUCAUCUCACCACUCUGGAUAUACUGGAAUAGAAAGCAUCUUACAUACAAGAACAAUUAAUCUGGAGCACAGAGAAGAUAUUUCUUUGUGCAGGUUUCCAUAAAGACUGUGCAGAAAUGUAUUGGUCUAAGCCAGGCAGUCCCAUUUACAGCACUGUUGUUUUUUGUUUAUGUAGUUACACUAUGAUGUGAUUGUAGAUUUUUUAACUGUGAAACCCUGAGAGAUUGUACCUUCUAGCUGAAAUAAAAUGUUUAUCAUAGAUUGUG